rnacentral:rRNA from 1 species
GACGUAGGUGGCGAACGUUAUCCGGAAUUAUUGGGCGUAAAGAGCUCGUAGGCGGUUUGUCGCGUCUGCCGUGAAAGUCCGGGGCUCAACUCCGGAUCUGCGGUGGGUACGGGCAGACUAGAGUGAUGUAGGGGAGACUGGAGUUCCUGGUGUAGCGGUGAAAUGCGCAGAUAUCAGGAGGAACACCGAUGGCGAAGGCAGGUCUCUGGGCAUUAACUGACGCUGAGGAGCGAAAGCAUGGGGAGCGAACAGG